rnacentral:rRNA from 1 species
CAAGUCGGACGGGAUUGGAGAGCUUGCUUUCCAUGAGAGUGGCGCACGGGUGCGUAACACGUAUGUAACCUACCUUAGUCAGGGGGAUAGCCUCUCGAAAGAGAGAUUAACACCGCAUAACAUUAUGAUAUGGCAUCAUAUUAUAAUCAAAUAUUUAUAGGACUAAGAUGGGCAUGCGGAACAUUAGCUAGUUGGUAAGGUAACGGCUUACCAAGGCUACGAUGUUUAGGGGAUCUGAGAGGAUGACCCCCCACACUGGUACUGAGACACGGACCAGACUCCUACGGGAGGCAGCAGUAAGGAAUAUUGGUCAAUGGACGCAAGUCUGAACCAGCCAUGCCGCGUGCAGGAAGACGGCCCUACGGGUUGUAAACUGCUUUUGUACCGGAAUAAACCUUUGUAUGUAUACGAAGCUGAAUGUACGGUAAGAAUAAGGAUCGGCUAACUCCGUGCCAGCAGCCGCGGUAAUACGGAGGAUCCAAGCGUUAUCCGGAUUUAUUGGGUUUAAAGGGUGCGUAGGUGGCCUAUUAAGUCAGGGGUGAAAGACGGUAGCUUAACUAUCGCAGUGCCUUUGAUACUGAUGGGCUUGAAUACACUAGAGGUAGGCGGAAUGUGACAAGUAGCGGUGAAAUGCAUAGAUAUGUCACAGAACACCAAUUGCGAAGGCAGCUUACUAUGGUGUCAUUGACACUGAGGCACGAAAGCGUGGGGAUCAAACAGGAUUAGAUACCCUGGUAGUCCACGCCCUAAACGAUGAACACUCGAUGUUGGCGAUAUACGGUCAGCGUCUAA